rnacentral:rRNA from 1 species
UACGUAGGGUGCGAGCGUUAAUCGGAAUUACUGGGCGUAAAGCGUGCGCAGGCGGUUUGGUAAGACAGAUGUGAAAUCCCCGGGCUUAACCUGGGAAUUGCAUUUGUGACUGCCCGGCUAGAGUGUGUCAGAGGGGGGUAGAAUUCCACGUGUAGCAGUGAAAUGCGUAGAGAUGUGGAGGAACACCGAUGGCGAAGGCAGCCCCCUGGGUCAAAACUGACGCUCAUGCACGAAAGCGUGGGGAGCAAACAGG